rnacentral:rRNA from 1 species
GACUCGUCACACUAUCAUUAACUGAAUCCAUAGGUUAAUGAGGCGAACCGGGGGAACUGAAACAUCUAAGUACCCCGAGGAAAAGAAAUCAACCGAGAUUCCCCCAGUAGCGGCGAGCGAACGGGGAGGAGCCCAGAGCCUGAAUCAGCAUGUGUGUUAGUGGAAGCGUCUGGAAAGGCGCGCGAUACAGGGUGACAGCCCCGUACACAAAAGCGCAUGUGCUGUGAGCUCGAUGAGUAGGGCGGGACACGUGGUAUCCUGUCUGAAUAUGGGGGGACCAUCCUCCAAGGCUAAAUACUCCUGACUGACCGAUAGUGAACCAGUACCGUGAGGGAAAGGCGAAAAGAACCCCGGCGAGGGGAGUGAAAAAGAACCUGAAACCGUGUACGUACAAGCAGUGGGAGCCCCACCACUAAGCCAGUGGUGAACUCCACAUACGCAUCCUUUGCUGAGGAUACGGUUAACGGAGCGAAAGCGACGUUCAACCGCAAAAGAAGCAGAGGGGGCUUAGUGGUGGGGUGACUGCGUACCUUUUGUAUAAUGGGUCAGCGACUUAUAUUCUGUAGCAAGGUUAACCGAAUAGGGGAGCCGGAGGGAAACCGAGUCUUAAC